CCCAAAGACACAGCAAUGUAUGUGUCGGGAGAUGUGCCCGAUAUACUGCCAAUACCAGCGGAAAUCAAUAUGGAAAUAAAAGUGCAAUUAAAGAAGGAAAUUCGAUAUUUUGAAGGAAAACAUGAGAGAAUCUUGAAAUUGCUUGAAGGAGUGCAAGGACCUCCAGAAGUGCAGAAAAAAUUUGUCGUGUAUGCCAUGAAGGAAGCGGCAAGAUUGAAAAGAGAAGACUUAAUAAGUCACCUUGAGA